UACAGAGGCCCCGAGCGUUAAUCGGAAUCACUGGGCUUAAAGGGUGCGUAGGCGGGUCAGUAAGCGCUUUGUGAAAUCCCACAGCUCAACUGUGGAACCGCAGGGCGAACUGCUGAUCUUGAGGAAGCUAGAGGCUGGUAGAACGAUAGGUGGAGCGGUGGAAUGCGUAGAGAUCUAUCGGAAUGCCGAAAGUGAAGACAGCCAGCUGGGGCUUUCCUGACGCUAAAGCACGAAAGCGUGGGGAGCAAAC
rnacentral:rRNA from 1 species